GAUGAACGCUGGCGGCGUGCUUAACACAUGCAAGUCGAACGAGAAGUGAAGACGGAAACCUUCGGGCGGAAGGCUUUAUUUCGAGUGGCGGACGGGUGAGUAACACGUGGGUAACCUGCCUCAUACAGGGGGAUAACAGUUGGAAACGACUGUUAAUACCGCAUAAGACCACAGCACCGCAUGGUGCGGGGGUAAAAACUCCGGUGGUAUGAGAUGGACCCGCGUUCGAUUAGCCAGUUGGCGGGGUAACGGCCCACCAAAGCGACGAUCGAUAGCCGAUCUGAGAGGAUGACCGGCCACAUUGGGACUGAGACACGGCCCAAACUCCUACGGGAGGCAGCAGUGGGGAAUAUUGCACAAUGGGGGAAACCCUGAUGCAGCGACGCCGCGUGAGUGAAGAAGUAUUUCGGUAUGUAAAGCUCUAUCAGCAGGGAAGAAAAUGACGGUACCUGAGUAAGAAGCCCCGGCUAACUACGUG
rnacentral:rRNA from 1 species